rnacentral:lncRNA from 1 species
AUGACCGGAGCGCUGUGGUGCCAUGAAGCAGAGCAUUCAUCUCCAGCAGCUCCGUCUGGAGGAUGGAGCAGCCUCAGGCACCUCGGUACAAAUGCUCCCGACACUGUGAGAGCUUCCCACAACUUCCCAGCCAGGCAGCAGCUCCCCGGGGGGAUAGCAGGCAUGGCACCGGUGUCCCAGCCUGUGCAGGGCACUUUGGUGGCUUGUAAGGUGGGAGGUGGAGAGGAAUGGCCCAAAACGAGUGGAGAAGCAGGAGCGGUUCAGCAGCUACUGCUCUCCCAGGUGAUGGGCUCAUGGCAGCGGAUGCUGUGAGCAUCCUGGCGUCUUGAUGAGCAGCAGAGAAAACAUUUUUGCCUGGGUCCGGUUGCAGCAGGACCUGUGAGGUCUUGGGGGGAUACAGGCUGGGGCUACAAGUAGAAGGAAACGCUUCUGGAUUUCAGGCUUCACUGAGGAGGGAGGCUGGUGCCAGGGAAGCCAAGCUAAAAAAUCCCACUGGAACCAUUGCUUCUGGGCUCAGACACCUCCAGACAGAGUGUGCUUGGGGGAUUCGUGCCUGGAAAAAGCACCCAAGAGGGAAAAGGAGGGCCUGAGGAGAGGCACACUUGGAGAGUGAGGGAGGCUGCCAUGCUGCUCGCUCCCCGUCACUUGAGGCAGCGCUUCUUUCCUGUAUGUUUAAUAUGCAAAUAUUUAAUGGGGGUGUAUUAGAGCAUAAAGGCCAUAACUUGAGACCUUUCAGUCAAGAUUAAACAGGUGCCAAGGCUUUCUUUUCAAGGCCGGGAACAGCUGUGAGCCUUCCCUUCCCCAUACGUGAUUACAGUACGUCGCCGGGGCCUUUUCCACGGCCCUCCCCCUCCGUGCCGCUCUCCCUCAAAGACCCCUUUUUGUCUUUCCGCAAGACACCGUCCUAGUGAUUCAAAGGGAGCAGGAAAAAAAAGAAGUGUGAUUUAUUAGCUCUGGUGUGGAGGGCAAGGUUUUGACCUCAGGUGUGAAUCUGAGAAAAAUAUUAUUUUCCUGACAGCCAGCCCUCUCAGAGUGAAUUAAAACUGCUAUUGUGAGGAAAUGUAUUAAAGCCAUUUCGGCUUUUAUGACAAUAUCAGUGCAGCUACUCUAUAGAGUGCCUAGGAUGUAGAGUCGCCCCAAGGUGCUUUAUAAUCAUCAGUUUAAAGGGAGAGAAUUUGCCUGCAGAGAUGAAUCAAUGGGUGUAUUUUAUGAAACAUUAAUGACUGCUUUUGUAGAUGUAAAUUUGGGGGUAUGUUCCUGCAUCUCUCUGUGCUGUCCUGCAGCUGCAACUUAAGCCCGCUUGUUGUUAGUG